rnacentral:rRNA from 1 species
ACGAACGCUGGCGGCGUGCUUAACACAUGCAAGUCGAACGGAAAGGCCCUGCUUUUGUGGGGUGCUCGAGUGGCGAACGGGUGAGUAACACGUGAGUAACCUGCCCUUGACUUUGGGAUAACUUCAGGAAACUGGGGCUAAUACCGGAUAGGAGCUCCUGCUGCAUGGUGGGGGUUGGAAAGUUUCGGCGGUUGGGGAUGGACUCGCGGCUUAUCAGCUUGUUGGUGGGGUAGUGGCUUACCAAGGCUUUGACGGGUAGCCGGCCUGAGAGGGUGACCGGCCACAUUGGGGCUGAGAUACGGCCCAGACUCCUACGGGAGACAGCAGUGGGGAAUAUUGCACAAUGGGCGGAAGCCUGAUGCAGCAACGCCGCGUGCGGGAUGACGGCCUUCGGGUUGUAAACCGCUUUCGCCUGUGACGAAGCGUGAGUGACGGUAAUGGGUAAAGAAGCACCGGCUAACUACGUG